rnacentral:pre_miRNA from 1 species
CUACUACUCCCUCCGUCCGAAAAUACUUGUCAUUGAAAUGGAUGUAUCUAGAUGUAUUUUAGUUCUAGACACAUCCAUUUUGAUGACAAGUAAUUCCGGACGGAGGGAGUAUUGU